GAAUGUGAAAGCAUAGGCUCUUGGGACAUCCCCAGACCCUCUGACUGCAAAUAGUCCUGAAGGUUCCCAGUCCUAGGACCUCUGAGGGCACCAGACACAUGUGGUACAUAGAUGUACAUGCAAACAAGAUACCUGGAGAGAGAGAGAGAGACAGAGAGAGAGAAUAUCCUACAAGGGUGUCAGAAGGCCCCCUGGAGUAUUCAUGGGAUAAAGACAAAAGGUCUCAGACCACGGAUGUCUCUGAAGCAGUGCAUGGCCCGGCCUUCUUCACCGAACCCUUCCUUCAGUGCUCAGGCUUCCAGGGAGCCUGCCACAUCAUGCCUGACUCCACCAUCCUGUCUUUGCGAUUAUUCUGAUCUGACAUCUUUCCUGGGCUGC